UACGUAGGGACCAAGCGUUGUUCGGAUUUACUGGGCGUAAAGGGCGCGUAGGCGGCAUGACAAGUCACUUGUGAAAUCUCCGGGCUUAACUCAGAACGGCCAAGUGAUACUGCAGUGCUAGAGUGUGGGAGGGGCAAUCGGAAUUCUUGGUGUAGCGGUGAAAUGCGUAGAUAUCAAGAGGAACACCUGAGGUGAAGACGGGUUGCUGGGCCAACACUGACGCUGAGGCGCGAAAGCGUGGGGAUCAAACAGG
rnacentral:rRNA from 1 species